CCUGCGCUGGAAAUAUGUACGGAGUUUACGGGUAAAGUAUCUGUAUAUGUGUACAAAAGGAAUUACACAAAUGCCGUACAGUAAUAAAUGACCUAUAUUGCGUCUGCAACUAUAGACUAAUUAAAAAAAAAAAAUUGGUUGCCUGUAAAGUCGGUAUACGGGCGAAAGUUUUACGUGACAACGACUUUGAGUGGUAAAAUAAUUUUAAUGUGAAUAUUCAUUCGUAUAGUAGGAAGAAGGAUGAAAUAAUAGUAACAAUUUAAAACAUUUAUUUAUACAAAGAAUUAUAUUUAAAACAUUAAUUUAUACAAAGAAUCUCGCACUGAAUUUCAUAUUAACAAAAUUUUAUUCACUCGCUCUCAUUGUGAGCGCAUAACGUGAGCGGAGCGUAACGCAGUUUCUUGAAGUGUCACCCGGCAAACCAAUUUAUAAGACGUUGUCACGUCAAAAUUUGUACCGACUUCCGGAACCACUUCUUUAGUACGGCGCUAGGUUUUUCGACAUUUAUUUUUAAUCAUCUAGUCUAUCAUUAGUCGUAAUUCAUCAUUUGUACCUUAGAAAUUUCAUUCACUCGCGUGCUCACCUGUACUGGGGCCUAAUUGUCUAACGGAGUUCAUUGAUCGUAAAGUUCAUACGAUCGGCUACGAUCAACGAUCAAUCGUAACUUUACAUUGGUAUUGUCUAAUUUAGUUCAUUAUAUGAAGACCGGAUGGUGAACGAUGAACUGAAAUCAUUCAUGAAGAUUGCGUAUUGUUUAUGCAAAACGAUAGUGAAACUAUCGUUAAUAAUAUUAUCAAAUUUAAGUCAAACUCCAUAAUAAUGCAUAUAUUUUAACAAAGUUUUAUGUCUUUUGUUUAAAACAUUAAAGAAGCAUUAAAUUUCACGAAAAAUAUCUACUAUUGAAGAAAAUAGCGUGAGAAAAUGGUACAUGCAACUCAAGUAACAAAACGCAAUUAACGAAUUUAACCAAGGGCUAUUUGGACUAUUUGGUAAUCUCCCUGUUGUCUGUGUAGGCUAGUGUCAAAAUAACGGGGUAUCCUAUUAGUCUGUGGUGAAACAUAGCAUAUUAAUAACCUGUGGAUUGGAAAUUUUAAUUUAACAAAACAAAACAAAAUUUUUAUUUUUCAGGUUUUACAGAGAAUUUAGAAAUUGAGCAAAGUUUUACUAAAUUAUAGUGAUCUUAGGAGCAAAGUUUACUUCGUUUGUGUUAUUGUUAAUCAAAAAUAUAAAAGUAAACAAAAAAGAAAACUACCUCUAUCUAAUUUUAUCGAUGUCCAUUUCUUAAGAAGUUUCUCAUUAAAACAACGCUUAACUCAGGCAAGACAGGGCUAAGGUGAUUAGCGUAACUACAAGUGGUUAACUUACAGUUAGCCAACUGAAGAACAAUCAACAAUGCCCGAUUAAUAAAUGAUCGCGCUGCUUGUCUACUACAUGUCCCUGCACUAGUUAUAGCAGUAAUUUCUUUGUUGGGAAGUAUUUAGCACAUCCGGGCUGCGCAAAAGGAGAGGACUAAAUUGAUUAUUAUGAACAGACCAAUAUGAUGAACCACUGAUAUUGACUCAGAGACAUGAAGAUCAGUGCUUUGACAACAAGACUGACUAGCUGAGCCAGCUUAAGAAUUAUGUGGUGUGUGUGUGUGUCUAAUUCCAGGAGCUCUCUAUGUCAGCCAUCCAUCUAUAUUCUUACUCAUUUUUGUUAAUUAUAAAAUAAAUUUGAUUAUUUA